GUCUACGGCCAUGCUACCCUGAACACGCCUGAUAUUAUCUGAUCUCAGAAGCUAAGCAAAGUCAGGCCUGGUUAGUACUUGGAUGGGAGACCACUUAGGAAGACCAGGUGCUGUAGGCA
rnacentral:rRNA from 1 species